ACAAACAACAAUGGCUCGCGUCAAACAAACUGCCAGGCGUCCAUCAUCAUCAUCUAAAUCAAUUUCUCUGGAUUCUUCUUCUACUUCAAGUGGAAGAACACCUUCACCCCCACCUCCUUCACCUCCGGCCAAACGAGUUUCUAUUCCUAUACACAAGGUUUUGGCUAAGGAUAAAGGUAAAGUUGUUGCUACUUCUCAGGAACCAAGCAAAAAGAGGAAAGCUCCUCCUAC
rnacentral:lncRNA from 1 species